rnacentral:rRNA from 1 species
AUUGAACGCUGGCGGCAGGCCUAACACAUGCAAGUCGAACGAGUGGCGGACGGGUGAGUAAUGUCUGGGAAACUGCCUGAUGGAGAGGGAUAACUACUGGAAACGGUAGCUAAUACCGCAUACCAUCAGAUGUGUCCAGAUGGUAUUAGCUAGUAGGUGGGGUAACGGCUCACCUAGGCGACGAUCCCUCGCUGGUCUGAGAGGAUGACCAGCCACACUGGAACUGAGACAUGGUCCAGACUCCUACGGGAGGGAGCAGUGGGGAAUAUUGCACAAGGGGCGCAAGCCUGAUGCAGCCAUGCCGCGUGUAUGAAGAAGGCCUGCGGGUUGUAAAGUACUUUCAGCGGGGAGGCGUUACCCGCAGAAGAAGCACCGGCUAACUCCGUGCCAGCAGCCGCGGUAAUAC